rnacentral:rRNA from 1 species
CCUACGGGUGGCAGCAGUAGGGAAUAUUGCUCAAUGGGGGAAACCCUGAAGCAGCAACGCCGCGUGGAGGAUGAAGGUUUUCGGAUGGUAAACUCCUGUUGUUAGAGAAGAGAAGGACGGUAGCUAACGAAUAAGCACCGGCUAACUCCGUGCCAGCAGCCGCGGGAAUACGGAGGGUGCAAGCGUUACUCGGAAUCACUGGGCGUAAAGAGCGCGGAGGCGGGAUAGCACGUCAGAUGGGAAAUCCUAUGGCUUAACCAUAGAACUGCAUUUGAAACUGUUAUUCUAGAGUAUGGGAGAGGUAGGUGGCAUUCUUUGUGUAGUGGUCAAAUCCGUCGAGAUC